AGGGAAUAGAUACCCCGGUAGUCCUGGCCGUAAACGAUGUCGACUAGAUCGUAGUGCCUCUGACGGUAUUACGGUCGAAAGCAGAAAGUGCUAAGUCGACCGCCUGGGAAGUACGGUCGCAAGGCUAAAACUCAAAGAAAUUGACGGGGGCUCACACAAGCGGUGGAGCAUGUGGUUCAAUUCGAAGCAACGCGCAGAACCUUACCUGGGCUUGACAUGCUAGGAUUAUCCCUAUGAAAGUAGGGUAGGCCCUUCGGGUACGAACUAGUACAGGUGCUGCAUGGCUGUCGUCAGCUCGUGUCGUGAGAUGUCGGGUUAAGU
rnacentral:rRNA from 1 species